UGGGGAAUUUUGGACAAUGGGGGAAACCCUGAUCCAGCCAUCCCGCGUGUGCGAUGAAGGCCUUCGGGUUGUAAAGCACUUUUGGCAGGAAAGAAACGUCGCGGGUUAAUACCCCGCGGAACUGACGGUACCUGCAGAAUAAGCACCGGCUAACUACGUGCCAGCAGCCGCGGUAAUACGUAGGGUGCAAGCGUUAAUCGGAAUUGCUGGGCGUAAAGCGUGCGCAGGCGGUUCGGAAAGAAAGAUGUGAAAUCCCAGAGCUUAACUUUGGAACUGCAUUUUUAACUACCGGGCUAGAGUGUUCAGAGGGAGGUGGAAUUCCGCGUGUAGCAGUGAAAUGCGUAGAUAUGCGGAGGAACACCGAUGGCGAAGGCAGCCUCCUGGGAUAACACUGACGCUCAUGCACGAAAGCGUGGGGAGCAAACAGGAUUAGAUACCCUGGUAGUCCACGCCCUAAACGAUGUCAACUCAGCUGUUGGGGUCUUCGGACCUUGGUANGG
rnacentral:rRNA from 1 species